GACAGAGGAUGCAAGCGUUAUCCGGAAUCACUGGGCGUAAAGCGUCUGUAGGUUGUUUAAAAAGUCUGCAGUUAAAGGUUGAAGCUUAACUUCAAAAAAUGCCGUAGAAACUUUUAAACUAGAGGAUGGUAGGGGUAGAGGGAAUUUCCAGUGGAGCGGUGAAAUGUGUAGAUAUUGGAAAGACCACCGAUGGCGAAGGCACUCUACUGGGCCAUGACUGACACUGAGAGACGAAAGCUAGGGGAGCAAAUGGG
rnacentral:rRNA from 1 species